rnacentral:rRNA from 1 species
UGUCCUAUUAGCUAGUUGGCGAGGUAAUGGCUCACCAAGGCUACGAUGGGUAGGGGUUCUUAGUGGAAGGUCCCCCACACUGGCACUGAGAUACGGGCCAGACUCCUACGGGAGGCAGCAGUAGGGAAUAUUGGUCAAUGGGCGCAAGCCUGAACCAGCCAUGCCGCGUGCAGGAUGAAGGCUCUCUGAGUUGUAAACUGCUUUUGUACAGGAGCAAAAAACCCCUGCGGAGGUUCUUGAGAGUACUGUAAGAAUAAGCACCGGCUAAUUCCGUGCCAGCAGCCGCGGUAAUACGGAAGGUGCAAGCGUUAUCCGGUUUUAUUGGGUUUAAAGGGUGCGUAGGCGGCUUAUUAAGUCAGUUGUGAAAUCCUAGUGCUUAACGCUAGAACUGCAAUUGAUACUAUU